UACGUAGGGGGCAAGCGUUGUCCGGAAUCAUUGGGCGUAAAGAGCGUGUAGGCGGCCUGGUAAGUCCGCUGUGAAAGUCCAGGGCUCAACCCUGGAAUGCCGGUGGAAACUGUCAGGCUCGAGUCCGGAAGAGGCGAGUGGAAUUCCUGGUGUAGCGGUGAAAUGCGCAGAUAUCAGGAGGAACACCAAUGGCGAAGGCAGCUCGCUGGGACGGUACUGACGCUGAGGCGCGAAGGCUAGGGUAGCAAACAGG
rnacentral:rRNA from 1 species